UUCACUUUCACUCGCGUCUGAAACAAACACUGCCUAAAGCAUUGUUAUAGAAAGUAGACAUUAGAAAGUACUUACAAUACUACUAAAUGAUCCUCAUCGGUGUGAGAUCCAUAGCAGUUUCAGAUUCAGGUUCAUGAACAUUAACAUGUGUUAUAGUUGCUCCAAUUUUAUCGUGUCACCUCGUUAAGAACAAGAAACAAAAAAGAGAGGGUGGGAAAGACGAAUAUGAUCUUCCAUUCCACUUCCAAUUCCUUGAACUCCUAAAUGAUUACAACCAAGUAAAAGUCUCAUCAUUUCUUGGUUUUCCCGAAAUUUAUUUACCUGGGACAUGGGUGGUUCUAGUUUUAUUUGGAUUCGUAUUGCCUUAGAUAAAAUGUUCACGUUUGAACAUAAGGUAUUAUUGUGAACGAUUUUUCAAUGAGUGAUGGGGGAACACGUGGCAGCAUUCCACACUGCUACCAACGCUGUGCAAGCAUUAAAUAGAGGCUUUGAUGUGAACUGCGAUACGAGGUUGCUGUAUUGCAAACGAGUGGCAGGGUCUAGGGUGAUUCAUGUUGAUGAAGAACACGUGAGGGACUUGUGGUUGUUCCCAAUGUUUCAAGUGACAUUGUUCAGAACUCUCAGGAGCAUGUGGGGCGUCGCAGUUCUGGAGUCUGUAGUUAUCAGGAGUCAUUUGACUGCAGAUGGUGGAAUAUUUUAAUCAGAAGGCAAAUAUAUCACAAAGCUUUCCUCUUGGGACAUUUAAUUCUGCGUUUAGCUUCACUGGUUCAAAACACAUUGAUGCUACUGAGACAAAAUCUCUUUCUUCAGAUGGGUUUUAUUUUCCCCUCGCAAAGGUUCAGCUUAUAAACUCCCACUUAAUGUUGCAAGAAAAUGUCGAAAGGGACAUCCCAGUUAUCUACAUAAUGCAGUAGCAAAAUAUCUAUCAUCAGAUUGUCCUUGACCUUGAAUUUUAUUUUGAUAGCUUUAUUGAAAACUUUGGGACACAUGUCAUUACAUCCAUAACUAUUGGUGGUAAGGAUGUUAUUUUUUCUAAACAACACCAUAGUUCACCUUUGUCAACAUUGGAGAUAAAGAACUAUAUUCAAGAAAUUGGAAGCCAGAGGUUCUCUGACAUCAGUAACCAUACAAGUUCACUUCAAACAAAAUCCAAGGAUAAGGCUAGUUUCACUUUGAUUCCGACUCUUUAUACUGAUUUGAUUCUGGUUUUUGAUAACAAGGAAUAUAUUGCUUAUUUUGUAGUUAUAUAGGUUUGCAGGUUGUUGAUUCCUUUUCAUUCAAUAAUCAAGUGAUACACCCUCAACCUGCAUCUGGAACUUAUCUAAGUGGGAAAGAUGUCAGAGUCAUUUUCAGAAGGAGAGGAGGAGAUGAUUUGGAACAAGACCACAGUAUGUGGCUCAGAACAGUCUGUUCUUCCCCAGAUGUCAUUCAGAUGACUUUUUGUCCUAUAACAGAUCUCAUUGAUGAAGUUCCUGGCAAGGAGCAUUUGGCUCACAUUAUUGGUCUCUAUCUUGAAUAUAAACCUCCCAUUGAAGAACUUAGAUAUUUCUUAGAGUUUCAAAUUGCUCACGUUUGGGCUCCUCUUCAUGACAGGACUCCUGGACACCGAAGGAAGGAACCUUUGUGUCCAUCUUUGCAAUUCAGCAUAAUGGGCCAGAAUCUUUAUGUUAGCCAAGAGCAAGGAAAUGAACUUUUUUUUUUGCAUUUUCUUGUUGAGCUUUGAAACUCCUGAUCCUGUUGGAUUCACACUAUUUUUCUGGCAUUAAAACCUAUAUGUAUUGGGCUAAUUUUAGUUCAUCUUAGUACUUAAUUUUCAGUUAUAAACAUUAUUUUGACUCAUGUGGCUGCAUACACUUCAAUAAUGUCCUUUAUUUGAUUGUGAGUCAGUACAUACUAGAUUUUAAAAUCCACCACUUUUUAUAUGCUGCUUUGAACUGUUAAAAUUGGGAUGCAGCUUUUUCAACCAUAAAGAAAAGGCUUUUGCUGGUCAGACUUUAUUUAAUUUUUAAUUCACAGUAGUUUGGAAGCAAUACAAUACUUUUUCUUUACUAUAUGAAGUUAAUGAUAUUUAUGGGGUUCAGGUUAGACAAGGAGGAAAGAUUGGGGGAGGGGAGUGUAGUGUUACAUGAACAAGAGUUAAAAUUCGCUGUAAAGGACUAAUGAAAGGUUAACUACUGACAUUUUCAUAAUCAGUUUAGCAAUUUCUCCUAUAGUUAAUGCCAAAUGUGAACCUUCAUGAGAUUAUUUACCUUAAAAUUCCACUUGUAAAGAGUGUUAUCGAAGAAAUACUAUUAGAAUGCUCUAAAAUAUUAUCUAAAUUGCAUUUAUGCAGAGCAAUUUUACCUUCAUUUUAAGCAAUUUUCCCGCAUCUUUAGGUUUGGUUAUUGAACUCACAUGAUUAUUAGCUACAUCUUUUAUUCGCAAGUCCUCAAAGUGUAGAAGACAGCUAGCAGAUAGCUAAUAAAUUUCAUUUGACUGACUGUUCCUUUUCAUAUGCAGAUCACUGUUGGGCGUUUGCAAGUAACCGGCCUACGUCUGUUUCUAGAAGGGGAAGCAAGCACAAUCGGUUGAUUGUUCAUCUUCAAAACUUAUCAUCCCUUCCAAAGAUCCUUUGGCCAUAUUGGGACACAUACGUAGCCAUUGGUGCUCCUGAAAAUUGCUAUUCAAGAAUACUAAAUGCAUUAAAAAUGAAUUAAAAAAAUAGCAUUUUACCUCUAAUUUUAUGAUUUCUUGUGUGAGAUUCGUAAAUAAUUGAUUUUUGUGUGAAUUUAUACAGUGGAAGCUCCAUUUGGAUAACUAAUGUUGAACUUGUUUGGAUUUUUAGGCUGAAGAAGAGAAGAUUUGAAAAUGUUGCUGAAGGGUUCCCUCAUCGAGUCAGAUUGGCUAAGCGAGGUUUAUCCGCUUAGCGAGGAAGCUAGCUCGCUCAGCGAGAGUGGAACCCUAGAGAAUGUAAAGUUAGAGAGCAGUGCACUAAGUGCAUAGCCAGCCCGCCCAACGAGGCUUUUGUCUUUUCUCGUGCUUAACGCAUCCAAUCUCGCUAAGCGCUCAGUCACUAACUCUUACUCAGCAAGACCUGCUCGCUAAGUGCACAUUCGUAAACUGAAAAACCCAAAAGUCUUUAAAGCUGGAAGAGGAGGGAAAAACCAAGCGUCAAGCAGCGUAGGAAAGAAGGAACAAAGCACCAAGGCUGAAGGAGGACAUUUUUCUUCACACUUUCACUUCACCAUUCCAUUUUCCACCAUUUUUCAUCCUUGUAAAAUGGAGGGCUAAACACUUCAUUGUUAGGGAGUUUUUUCAUUAAGCAUUUUUUAUGUAAAAACUCUAACUAUCUAUUCAAUAUUAUUGCUAGUGUUCUCUGCUU